rnacentral:rRNA from 1 species
UACGAAGGGGGCUAGCGUUACUCGGAUUGACUGGGCGUAAAGGGCGCGUAGGCGGUUUGUACAGUCAGACGUGAAAUUCCUGGGCUCAACCUGGGGGCUGCGUUUGAUACGUGCAGACUUGAGUUCGGAAGAGGGUCGUGGAAUUCCCAGUGUAGAGGUGAAAUUCGUAGAUAUUGGGAAGAACACCGGUGGCGAAGGCGGCAUCCUGGACCAGCACUGACGCUGAUGAGCGAAAGCCAGGGGAGCAAACGGG